rnacentral:rRNA from 1 species
AGCAAGGGAUCGUGCACAAUGGGCGAAAGCCUGAUGCCGCGACGCCGCGUGAGGGAUGACGGCUUUCGAGUUGUAAACCUCUUUUCUCAGGGAAGAGAGAGGACAUCACCUGAGGAAUAAGUCAUGGCUAACUACGUGCCAGCAGCAGCGGUAAUACGUAGGUGGCAAGCGUUAUCCGGAAUUACUGGGCGUAAAGGGUCCGUAGGCGGUUUGGUAAGUCUUCUGUGAAAGCUCCAGGCUCAACUUGGAGUCGUCGGGAGAAACUGCUGAACUAGAGACUGUCAGAGGCAGGUGGAAUUCCCGGUGUAGUGGUGAAAUACGUAGAUAUCGGGAGGAACACCAGUGGCGAAAGCGGCCUGCUGGGGCAGUUCUGACGCUAAGGGACUAAAGCGUGGGGAGCGAACCGGAUUAGAUACCCGGGUAGUCCACGCCCUAAACGAUGAAUGCUAGGUCUUCGGGGUGUUAAUUCCCUGUGGGCCGAAGGUAACCCAUAAGC